AGUGGGGAAUAUUGCACAAUGGGCGGAAGCCUGAUGCAGCAACGCCGCGUGCGGGAUGACGGCCUUCGGGUUGUAAACCGCUUUCAGCAGGGGCGAAGCUUUUGUGACGGUACCUGCAGAAGAAGCACCGGCUAACUACGUGCCAGCAGCCGCGGUGAUACGUAGGGUGCGAGCGUUGUCCGGAUUUAUUGGGCGUAAAGAGCUCGUAGGUGGUUGAUUGCGUCGGAAGUGAAAACUUGGGGCUUAACCCUGAGCGUGCUUUCGAUACGGGUUGACUUGAGGAAGGUAGGGGAGAAUGGAAUUCCUGGUGGAGCGGUGGAAUGCGCAGAUAUCAGGAGGAACACCAGUGGCGAAGGCGGUUCUCUGGACCUUUCCUGACGCUGAGGAGCGAAAGCGUGGGGAGCGAA
rnacentral:rRNA from 1 species